GACAGAGGGUGCAAACGUUGCUCGGAAUUACUGGGCGUAAAGGCGUGUAGGCGGAAGGCAAGUCGGCGUGAAUCCCAGGCUCAACCUGGAACUGCACUCGAACUGCCUUCUUGAGUGUCGGAGAGGAAAGCGGAAUUCCUGGUGUAGAGGUGAAAUUCGUAGAUAUCAGGAGGAACACCAGUGGCGAAGGCGGCUUCCUGGACGAUAACUGACGCUGAGACGCGAAAGCGUGGGAGCAAACAGG
rnacentral:rRNA from 1 species